AGAGUUUGAUCCUGGCUCAGAAUAAACGCUGGUGGCAUGCUUUAUACAUGCAAGUCGAGCGAAGACUAGAUUUGUAGUAGAAAUGAUUAAUUUUCACUUUGUGGAGAUUAUGAGUUUUUGCUAUUCCUGGUCUUAGCGGCGAACGGGUGAGUAACGCGUGAAUAAUCUGCCCUUGAAAUCGGGAUACCAUUCCGAAAGGAAUGCUAAUACCGAAUAACGUUAUGAAACGUAGGUUUCAUAACCAAAGUUGAAUCUUUGGAUUCUUCGUUCAAGGAUGAGUUCGCGUCCUAUUAGCUAGUUGGUGAGGUAAUGGCUUACCAAGGCUGUGAUGGGUAGCCAGCCUGAGAGGGCGUACGGCCACAUUGGGACUGAGACACGGCCCAGACUCCUACGGGAGGCAGCAGUAGGGAAUCUUCCGCAAUGGGCGAAAGCCUGACGGAGCGAUGCCACGUGGAUGACGGAGGCCUUCGGGUCGUAAAAUCCUGUCAGGGGGGACGAUGGUCAAUUUUCGGAUUGAUUGACGGUACCUCCAGAGGAAGCUCCGGCCAACUACGUGCCAGCAGCCGCGGUAAUACGUAGGGAGCAAGCGUUGUUCGGAUUUACUGGGCGUAAAGAGUGCGUAGGUGGCUAUACAAGUCAAGGGUGAAAUCUCUACUUUCAAGGUAGAAACUGCCUUUGAUACUGUAUGGCUAGAGGACAAGAGGGGGAAAUGGAACUCUGGGAGUAGCGGUGAAAUGCGUAGAUAUCCAGAGGAACGCCAGUAGCGAAGGCGGUUUCCUGGCUUGUUUCUGACACUGAGGCACCAAAGCUAGGGGAGCGAUCGGGAUUAGAGACCCCGGUAGUCCUAGCCCUAAACGAUGGGUACUAGGUGUGGGGGGAGCAUUACCCUCUGUGCCGAAGCUAACGCGUUAAGUACCCCGCCUGGGGAGUACGGUCGCAAGGCUGAAACUCAAAUGAAUUGAC
rnacentral:rRNA from 1 species